rnacentral:rRNA from 1 species
UAAGGAAUAUUGGUCAAUGGACGCAAGUCUGAACCAGCCAUGCCGCGUGAAGGAUGAAGGUCCUCUGGAUUGUAAACUUCUUUUAUCCGGGACGAAAACGGGAUUUUUAUCUCAAUUGACGGUACCAGAGGAAUAAGCACCGGCUAACUCCGUGCCAGCAGCCGCGGUAAUACGGAGGGUGCGAGCGUUAUCCGGAUUUACUGGGUUUAAAGGGUGCGUAGGCGGAUGAAUAAGUCAGUGGUGAAAUCUCCGAGCUUAACUCGGAAACUGCCGUUGAUACUAUUUGUCUUGAAUAUUGUGGAGGUAAGCGGAAUAUGUCAUGUAGCGGUGAAAUGCUUAGAUAUGACAUAGAACACCAAUUGCGAAGGCAGCUUGCUACACAAUCAUUGACGCUGAGGCACGAAAGCGUGGGGAUCAAACA